GACGGAGGGUGCAAGCGUUGCUCGGAAUCAUUGGGCGUAAAGGGUGCGUAGGCGGCUUUUUAAGUCUGACGUGAAAGCCCAAGGCUCAGCCUUGGAAGUGCGCUAGAAACUGAAAGGCUAGAGUGCCGGAGGGGAGAGUGGAAUUCCUGGUGUAGCGGUGAAAUGCGUAGAUAUCAGGAGGAAUACCGGUGGCGAAAGCGACUCUCUGGACGGUAACUGACGCUGAGGCACGAAAGCGUGGGGAGCAAACAGG
rnacentral:rRNA from 1 species